AUUGAACGCUGGCGGCAGGCUUAACACAUGCAAGUCGAGCGAGCGGCGGACGGGUGAGUAAUGUCUGGGAAACUGCCUGGUGGCGGGGGAUAACUACUGGAAACGGUAGCUAAUAACGCAUACCAUCAGAUGUGCCCAGAUGGGAUUAGCUAGUAGGUGGGGUAAGGGGUCACCUAGGCGACGAUCCCUAGCUGGUCUGCGAGGAUGACCAGCCGCACUGGCACUGAGACACGGUCCAGACUCCUACGGGAGGCAGCAGUGGGGAAUAUUGCACAAUGGGGGGAAGCCUGAUGCAGCCAUGCCGCGUGUGUGAAGAAGGCCUUCGGGUUGUAAAGUACUUUCAGCGAGGAGGCGUUACUCGCAGAAGAAGCACCGGCUAACUCCGUGCCAGCAGCCGCGGUAAUUC
rnacentral:rRNA from 1 species